rnacentral:rRNA from 1 species
UGUAGCGGUGAAAUGCGCAGAGAUAUGGAGGAACACCAGUGGCGAAGGCGACUUUCUGGUCUGUAACUGACGCUGAUGUGCGAAAGCGUGGGGAUCAAACAGGAUUAGAUACCCUGGUAGUCCACGCCGUAAACGAUGAGUGCUAAGUGUUAGGGGGUUUCCGCCCCUUAGUGCUGCAGCUAACGCAUUAAGCACUCCGCCUGGGGAGUACGACCGCAAGG